UACGUAGGGUGCAAGCGUUACUCGGAAUUACUGGGCGUAAAGCGUGCGUAGUCGGUUAUUUAAGUCGGAUGUGAAAUCCCCGGGCUCAACCUGGGAAUUGCAUUCGAUACUGGAUAGCUAGAGUUCGGCAGAGGGAAGCGGAAUUUCUGGUGUAGCGGUGAAAUGCGUAGAUAUCAGAAGGAACAUCAGUGGCGAAAGCGGCUUCCUGGACCAGAACUGACGAUCAGGCACGAAAGCGUGGGGAGCAAACAGG
rnacentral:rRNA from 1 species